CGCGCAGGCGGCUUGGUAAGUCAGAUGUGAAAGCCCGGGGCUUAACCCCGGAAGUACAUUUGAUACUAUUAAGCUUGAGUAUGGGAGAGGGAAGUGGAAUUCCUGGUGUAGCGGUGAAAUGCGUAGAUAUCAGGAGGAACACCGGUGGCGAAGGCGACUUCCUGGACCAAUACUGACGCUGAGGCGCGAAGGCGUGGGGAGCAAACA
rnacentral:rRNA from 1 species